UACGGAGGUGGCAAGCGUUGUUCGGAUUUACUGGGUGUAAAGGUCAUGUAGGCGUCUCCUUAAGUCGGGUGUGAAAUCCCUUGGCUCAACCAAGGAACUGCAUUCGAUACUGGGGAGAUUGAGUAUAGAAGAGGUAAGCGGAAUUCCGGAAGUAAGGGUGAAAUCUGUAGAUAUCCGGAAGAACACCAUUAGCGAAGGCGGCUUACUGGUCUAAUACUGACGCUGAAAUGAGAAAGCUGGGGGAUCAAACAGGAUUAGAUACCCUGGUAGUCCUAGCUGUAAACGAUGGGCACUAGGUGCAGGUCCGAAAGGAUUUGUGUCGAAGCAAACGCGUUAAGUGCCCCACCUGGGGACUACGGUCGCAAGGCUAAA
rnacentral:rRNA from 1 species